AACGAACGCUGGCGGCAUGCUUAACACAUGCAAGUCGCACGAGUAGCAAUACUAGUGGCGGACUGGUGAGUAACACGUGGGAAGCUACCUUAAAGUAGGGGAUUACUAUUGGAAACGAAAGAUAAUACCGAAUGUGACUGAGAAGGUAAAGAAGCAAUUUGCUUUAAGAUGAGCACGCGGCGGAUUAGCUAGUUGGUAGGGUAAUGGCUUACCAAGGCGACGAUCCGUAGCUGUUUUGAGAGGAAGAUCAGCCAAACUUGGACUGAGACACGGCCCAGACUCCUACGGGAGGCAGCAGUGGGGAAUUUUGGACAAUGGAGGAAACUCUGAUCCAGCAAUGCCGCGUGAGUGAAGAAGGCCUUCGGGUUGUAAAGCGCUUUUAACAAUGAAGAUGAUGACUGUAAUUGUAGAAUAAGGUCCGGCAAACUUCGUGCCAGCCGCCGCCGUAA
rnacentral:rRNA from 1 species